rnacentral:rRNA from 1 species
UACGGGGGGGCAAGGCGUUGUUCGGAAUUACGUGGCGUAAAGGGUUUGUAGGUGGCCGGCGUAAGUCCGACGUGAAAUCCCUCAGCUUAACUGGGGAACUGCGUCGGAGACUGGUCGGCUUGAGGGUCGGAGAGGAACGCGGAAUUCCAGGUGGUAGCGGUGAAAUGCGUAGAUAUCUGGAAGGAACACCGGUGGCGAAGGGCGGCGU